UCUAAUGUGGCAGAUUAGUGCAAUGGCCUUAAACCCCAAAUAUAAAAUUAAAUUUUCUUUAGAA
rnacentral:tRNA from 1 species